AACGAACGCUGGCGGCAGGCUUAACACAUGCAAGUCGAACGCCCCGCAAGGGGAGUGGCAGACGGGUGAGUAACGCGUGGGAAUCUACCCAUCUCUACGGAAUAACUCAGGGAAACUUGUGCUAAUACCGUAUACGCCCUACGGGGGAAAGAUUUAUCGGAGAUGGAUGAGCCCGCGUUGGAUUAGCUAGUUGGUGGGGUAAAGUCCUACCAAGGCGACGAUCCAUAGCUGGUCUGAGAGGAUGAUCAGCCACAUUGGGUCUGCGAUACGGCCCAAACUCCCACGGGAGGCAGCAGUGGUGAAUAUCGAACAAUGGGCGUAAGCCUGAUCCAGCCAUGACGCGUGAGUGAUGAAGGUCUUAGGAUUGUAAAGAUCUUACACCGGUGAAGAUAAUGACGGUAACCGGGGAAGAAGCCCCGGCUAACUUCGUGCCAGCCGCCGCGGUAA
rnacentral:rRNA from 1 species